GAUGAACGCUAGCUACAGGCUUAACACAUGCAAGUCGAGGGGAAACGACAUCGAAAGCUUGCUUUUGAUGGGCGUCGACCGGCGCACGGGUGAGUAACGCGUAUCCAACCUGCCCAUCACUUGGGAAUAACCUUGCGAAAGUAAGACUAAUACCCAAUGACAUCCCACGAAGACAUCUGAAUGGGAUUAAAGAUUUAUCGGUGAUGGAUGGUGAUGCGUCUGAUUAGCUUGUUGGCGGGGUAACGGCCCACCAAGGCAACGAUCAGUAGGGGUUCUGAGAGGAAGGUCCCCCACAUGGGAACUGAGACACGGUCCAAACUCCUACGGGAGGCAGCAGUGAGGAAUAUUGGUCAAUGGACGAGAGCCUGAACCAGCCAAGUAGCGUGCAGGAUGACGGCCCUAUGAGUUGUAAACUGCUUUUAUAAGGGAAUAAAGUGGGUCUCGUGAGACUUUUUGCAUGUACCUAAUGAAUAAGGACCGGCUAAUUCCGUG
rnacentral:rRNA from 1 species